ensembl:lncRNA
UCGUUCAGGGCAGGUCCUAUUCUUUCUGAGGGGACUGGGGGUAGAGGAGAACCUCGUUCAGGGCAGGUCCUAUUCUUUCUGAGGGGACAGGGGGUAGAGGAGAACCUUAUUCAGGGCAGGUCCUAUUCUUUCUGAGGGGACUGAGGGUAGAGGAGAACCUCGUUCAGGGCAGGUCCUAGUCUUUCUGAGGGGACUGAGGGUAGAGGAGAACCUCGUUCAGGGCAGGUCCUAGUCUUUCUGAGGGGACUGAGGGUAGAGGAGAACCUCGUUCAGGGCAGGUCCUAGUCUUUCUGAGGGGACUGGGGGUAGAGGAGAACCUCGUUCAGGGCAGGUCCUAUUCUGUCUGAGGGUAGAGGAGAACCUCAUUCAGGGCAGGUCCUAUUCUGUCUGAGGGGACUGGGGGUAGAGGAGAACCUCGUUCAGGGCAGGUCCUAUUCUGUCUGAGGGGACUGAGGGUAGAAGAGAACCUUGUUCAGGGCAGGUCCUAUUCUGUCUGAGGGGACUGGGGGUAGAGGAGAACCUUGUUCAGGGCUUGAGUUCAUAAAGAAUAUCUGAUCUAGUCCGACCUCUUAUAACAUCCUCCAUCAGCACUCCUACCGAAACACCAUGAAUAGAGGCCCUGACGUUCAGGGCAUCCUGACAAUGUUCUGAGGGGCAGGGGUACCUGACAAUGUUCUGAGGGGCAGGGGUACCUGACGUUCUGAGGGACAGGGGUACCUGACAAUGUUCUGAGGGACAGGGGCACCUGACAACGUUCUGAGGGACAACGUUCUGAGGGACAACCUGACAACGUUCUGAGGGACAGGGGUACCUGACAACGUUCUGAGGGACAGGGGUACCUGACAAC